GACGAACGCUGGCGGCGUGCUUAACACAUGCAAGUCGAACGAAGUGGCGAACGGGUGAGUAACGCGUAAUCAACCUGCUCUUCAGAGGGGGACAACAGUUGGCAACGACUGCUAAUACCGCAUUCUGAUGGAGGGGAGUGUGUCUGAUUAGCUAGGUGGAGGGGUAACGGCCCACCAAGGCGAUGAGCAGGAGCCGGGCUGAGAGGGUGAACGGGCACAUUGGGACUGAGAAACGGCCCAGACUCCUACGGGAGGCAGCAGUGGGGAAACUUCCGCAAUGGAGGAAAGUCUGACGGAGCAACGCCGCGUGAGUGAUGACGGCCUUCGGGUUGUAAAGCUCUGUUAGUCGGGACGCGGUACCGGAAUAGAAAGCCACGGCUAACUACGUGCCAGCAGCCGCGGUAAUUC
rnacentral:rRNA from 1 species